GUGUUAGCUUUGGCAGUACACAUUCUAAAAUUGGAAUGAUACUAAGAAGAUAAGCACGGUCCUUCUGUAAGGGUGACAUGCAAUUUCAUGGAACAUUCUGUAGUUGU
rfam:Octopus bimaculoides Scaffold46275_contig_16, whole genome shotgun sequence.